rnacentral:rRNA from 1 species
UGGGGAAUAUUGGACAAUGGGCGAAAGCCUGAUCCAGCCAUGCCGCGUGUGUGAAGAAGGCCUUAUGGUUGUAAAGCACUUUAAGCGAGGAGGAGGGUACUGGUAUUAAUACUACCAGCUACUGGACGUUACUCGCAGAAUAAGCACCGGCUAACUCUGUGCCAGCAGCCGCGGUAAUACAGAGGGUGCGAGCGUUAAUCGGAUUUACUGGGCGUAAAGCGUGCGUAGGCGGCUAAUUGAGUCGGAUGUGAAAUCCCCGAGCUUAACUUGGGAAUUGCAUUCGAUACUGGUUAGCUAGAGUGUGGGAGAGGAUGGUAGAAUUCCAGGUGUAGCGGUGAAAUGCGUAGAGAUCUGGAGGAAUACCGAUGGCGAAGGCAGCCAUCUGGCCUAACACUGACGCUGAGGUACGAAAGCAUGGGGAGCAAACAGG